GCUGGGCGUGGUGGCUCACGCCUGUAAUCCCAGCACUUUGGGAGGCUGAGGUGGGUGGAUCACCUGAGGUCAGGAGUUUGAGACCAGCCUGGCCAACAUGGUGAAACCCCAUCCCUA
rnacentral:SRP_RNA from 1 species